rnacentral:rRNA from 1 species
GACGAACGCUGGCGGCGUGCUUAACACAUGCAAGUCGAACGCUGAAGCUCAGCUUUUGUUGGGUGGAUGAGUGGCGAACGGGUGAGUAACACGUGAGUAACCUGCCCCCUUCUUUGGGAUAACGCCCGGAAACGGGUGCUAAUACUGGAUAUUCACUGGUCUUCGCAUGGGGGUUGGUGGAAAGGGUUUUUCUGGUGGGGGAUGGGCUCGCGGCCUAUCAGCUUGUUGGUGGGGUGAUGGCCUACCAAGGCUUUGACGGGUAGCCGGCCGGAGAGGGUGACCGGUCACAUUGGGACUGAGAUACGGCCCAGACUACUACGGGAGGCAGCAGUGGGGAAUAUUGCACAAUGGGCGCAAGCCUGAUGCAGCGACGCCGCGUGAGGGAUGGAGGCCUUCGGGUUGUGAACCUCUUUCGCUCAUGGUCAAGCCGCAACAAUGGUUGUGGUGAGGGUAGUGGGUAAAGAAGCGCCGGCUAACUACGUG